AAAGUAAGUCAUCUUAUCGCUUUGAUUUAUUCAAAGAGGAAAGUCCGGACACCACAGAGUAGCAUAGCGGAUAACAUCCGUCAUUCGUUUUGGCGAAUAGGACAAGUGCAACAGAAAGCAAGUACAGUUCGGCUGUAGUGAAACCAGGUAAACUCUAUGCGGUGCAAUGCUAUGUAUAUUGAAGUCCCAAUGUUUUGGGUAAGAGCGACUCGUUCAAUUUCAAGGGGUAAGCAGCUAAAGUUAUAAAGUAAUUUAUAACGCAGAUAAAUGAUAAGAAUUCGUUUUUUACGAAUAACAGAAUCCGGCUUAUUGGCUUACUUUUCUU
rnacentral:RNase_P_RNA from 1 species